CGUGCUGAACUUUUCCUAUAUCUAAGCUGAAUAUAAACAUCAUAAAUAAAUUAAAGGCAGUAAGGCACAUAAUAUUAAAUUCCUUUGUCCAUUGGAUUCCUCCAUCUUCUGAGUCCCUUCGUUCUCUCCCACUUCUUCAUGCCUUUUGAAAUAAAGAAACCCUAAUGCCGCUAGACUCUCUCUCUCUCUCUCUCUCUCUCUCUCUCUCUCUCUCUCUCUCUCUCUCUAGCAUUGUUGCCACCGAAAUCAACCACCUCGUUUUUCUCAAUGCUACAACGACCCCAACCCAUCUGGCAACGAUUUCCGUAAGCAACUCAGGUUUACCCUUCCAACCCACAGGUUUCUUGAUUUGUGUUGUCCUAUUUUGGGUUUUUCUUAAUAAUAUGUUGCAACGACCCUCACCCCCGCCACUAACCAGUAACCAGCACCGCCAUAGAAAUCCCACAACUCUUCGUCGAUGUUCGAUUUCUUUGGUGAUGGAACCCAUCUCUAUAAGGUACAACUUUGGGAAAGUAAAGAUAUGUUUGUUUUUUUUUCAUGUAUUUCUGAAGAUUCAAGCUACAACUGUGGGAAAUCAACGAUAAUUAGUUUCUUUUUCCCGAUCCAAAGGCAAGAGAGAUUGACACACUAAAAAUGAACUACAAAGCUCCAUGAAGCAACUCUGGAGAAACUUGAGUUAGUGAAAACAGAAUCUGAAAGUUUAUCAUCACAGAAGGUAAUAAAAUGUGAGAAAAAUAAGAAACUAAAUGUGAUUGUGGGUUAGAAUGAAACAACUCAAAAGUGGUUAAGGUGAUGUUGUAAGCCUAAAAGGUUUUGUAUUUAUAAUUUCCUAUUCCUAAUGAAAUAUAUAAUGAAUCAGGUCCACCUCCUACCAGGAAACUUGCAACUUUGUUGUAUAGACUAAGAAGAACGCAUGUGGUUGCUAAAAUUAAGAGUUACUAGACUAAAACAACAAUGUAGUCAAAGCAGAAAUUGUAAAAAGUGUGCUUAUAUCAACCGAUCUUAUACAUAUGUUGCAUAAACUAAGGUGGCAUUUUGUUGCAUAAUUUAAUCAUAACAUUUGAUGUUUUUCUUUUCGGUUCACUAGAACAUCUUUCUAAUGGGUAUCUUUUUAUUUAUGUUAGUUUAAUUUCUCUUCGUGCCUCACAAAGCGUAAAAUGAAUGACACAUUUUUACCCUUGUAUUGUAUGUUCACAACUAUAUGCAAACUAUGCCAUUGGUAAAGAUGUCCAUGUCAUGAAAGCAGUGGUUGGAGAAGAAGCCUUCUUCUGAGGAUCCGGUCAGUUUCACUUUCUCUAUCUAAAUUACAAUCAUGGUUCUUAAUGAGAUAAAACUUGUUGGACUUGUAGUGGCGUGUGAAAAAAAUCGUAAGAAAUUAGCAUUUGAUAAAAAAGGAAAAUUCAUUAUUUGAAUUUUUUGUGUUUUUCUUUGUUUAACCUUUUAUAAACGUGGGUGAUCAGGAAAAUUCAUUAUUGGAUAUUGAUGCUACAUUAUAUAAAUCAGGUAAAUGGUAUAAUUUACAAAUUAGUAUAAGUUUUAGAUUUAUGUUUCAAUUUAUGGUCUCUAUCUUAAGCAACAUUUUCCUUACAAAGGAAAAAAGGAGUUACUUUGGAAUUCAUUUAGCGCAAUAAUAUGAUGUUAGAGUUGAUUUUUGUGCCCGUGAAACAAAUUCAGACGAAGGAAGCGAAUUGAAAACCCUAUAGCCUAGACGAUUUCAAUGCUUGAAACAAAGAAGUUUAAUUCGGGUAUUUUUGUGAUUACCUUUAAUUUCAUGUUUUAUUAUGUUUAAUUUCGUUUUUUAAUUAUCCAUGGUUAAUGUAAUUUUUUUUAACAAGAUAUGGUCGAGAUCUCAAUUUUUCUUUCUUUUCAUGUUUGUGUUAAUUUGUUACGGUUUUAUCAUAUAUUUUUGUUUAUUGUUCAAAUUAUAAAGAUAGUUUUUGUAGUUACAGGAAAAUGAAUUCUACCGGCUGCUCCCGGUUUCACAAAAAUGUUUCCAUUUGUUGUUUCUCUCUGACAGUUGAUUAUGUGGAGGAUCCAAUCACCCAAUGGAGUAUAGGAGGAUAUUCUCAAGCUUCAGGUAAUCCUGUUUAUCUUGCUAAUUUUCUAUAUAGUUCCCUUUACUUUGGUAUUUUGAUGGUCUAUAUAAUGUUUUAUACUUUAUUCCUUGGAGCUUUUUGGUUUGAAUCCAAUCAUCUUUAUGGCUUUUGUUGCUUGAUUCGGGUUUGAGAUUCUUGGAAUUACAUGAUUGGUGGUUCAGACUUUGGAGGUACUAUUGCCUUACAAGUUUCAUCUUAUGUAAAUCCGACUUUAUAACCUAUCAAUCUGGAUGGUCUUACUCUGCUAUGUAAAAGUUUAUUGUAAUAUUGUAUUUGUUGGAUAAGUACUUUAUGUCUACAGUUUGUCAAUUUUCCCAA